UAAGACAACAGAAUAAGUAUUCUACUCUGAACUGUUGACAGGAAACAGUAAAUUCAUGAUCUCAUCCAAUAUGACAUAAGAAUUUGAGACCCCCACCUUGGGCAUACAGGGGCAUUCACUUAAGUUGGUGUGUGAAUUUCAGUGAAGUCCCCUGCAGCCAGGACAAAAUGGCAAGGUAAAUUUCUCCUAUCCUAUCAUCACUA